rnacentral:lncRNA from 1 species
GCCGCCUCUCGCGCCCCGGUGCCAGGACUCGGGAUCCGACCAUAGGGCUUGGCAUGCCCCUUUACUUUCUUUUUUAACACUUGUAUUUAUUUUUUUCUUCGACAGGGUGUUCUCACUUUUUUUAAUUGGUUCGUUCCCCCCUGCAGUUUUAAUUUGCACUGUCGGAAACAGUUCCCUGCCGAUGAACUCGCUACUAGUGUUUUUGAUGCUAUAUACAGGUAGUGGUGCUUCUGCAUUAUAUAUGUCUAUAUCACGGGG